rnacentral:rRNA from 1 species
AACGAACGCUGGCGGCAUGCUUAACACAUGCAAGUCGAACGGGAACUCCGUGCUUAGUGGCGCACCGCGGGGUGCCACCUGGUAACUUACCCUUAGGUUCGGUACCCCUCACUUUAGGAGAAGUUCAUACAGCUUGAUGUCAUAGGAGAUAGGAUUUACCGCCUCAGGAUGGGCCCGCGUAGGUUUCGCCGGUUGGUAGGGUAAAAGCCUACCAAGGCGACGUUCCAUAGCUCGUCUGAGAGGAGGAUCAGCCAGACUGGGACUACGACACGGCCCAGUCUCCUACGGGAGGCAGCAGUGGGGAAUAUUGGACAAUGGGCGAAAGCCUGAUCCAGCAAUGCCGCGUGAGUGAUGAAGGCCUUAGGGUUGUAAAGCUCUUUUACCCGGGAUGAUAAUGACAGUACCGGGAGAAUAAGCUCCGGCUAACUCCGUG